rnacentral:tRNA from 1 species
CGAUAAACAUAAUAGUUUCGACCUAUUUAAACUGGAAAUACAUUUCCUUAUCGC